UACAGAGGUCCCGAGCGUUGUUCGGAUUCAUUGGGCGUAAAAGGGUGCGUAGGCGGCGGGGCAAAGUCUGAUGUGAAAUCCCGGGGCCUCAACCCCGGAACUGCAUUGGAUACUGCCUUGCUUGAGUACUGGAGAGGAGACGUGGAAUUUACGGUGUAGCAGUGAAAUGCGUAGAGAUCGUAAGGAAGGCCAGUGGCGAAGGCGACGUCUCUGGACAGUAACUGACGCUGAGGCACGAAGGCCAGGGGAGGCAAACAGG
rnacentral:rRNA from 1 species